GGCCCUGUGGCCUAAUGGAUAAGGCGUCGAUCUCCUAAACCGAAGAUUCAAGAUUCGAGUCCUUCCUGGGACG
rfam:Angiostrongylus cantonensis strain Taiwan genome assembly, scaffold: ACAC_contig0005449